CUAAAUUAGUUGCAAUAAAUAGUUGCAACCCUAGAAAAUAGAAUUUAGUAAAUCUUUUCUUACAUAGAGUCAUUAUAUAUGAUAUGUGGGGAUAUGUAUGAAAAAUAGAUUUUAUAUGGAUCUAUUUCUGCCAUUCCUUUCAUUCUUGCUCGAGCCGGAUGAUGAAAAAUUAUCAUGUCCGGUUCCUUCAGGGGGUGGAUCCAUAAGAAUUCACCUAUCCUAAUAACAGAAAAACUUGACUAGAACGAUACUAUAUUAAGAGCAAGUUCACUGGGUGGCCAUGGAAGGCCUAGGUCGCACGCUGGUGAGGAAGUUCUGCUCAAACUCCCUGGUGAGCUGGUCAAAGGACAAGACCGAAUAUUGGCGCAAUCGGUUGAACCACACUCGUACCUGUCCCCUCAAGGUGGUCGGAAAUGCCCAGCACAUCAAUGCAUCGGAGGUGCCAUAGAGGGUCAUCUGAGCCCGCAAUGCGGAGACAUGCUCCGCGGGAUCGGAGCCGCCGUCAUAUGUCUCCAAUGCCGACAGCAUGAAGUUGAGUGGUACCGACUUGUCCUAUACUUCCUGUGUGAAAGGGGACCUGCCUGAGCCGCCUUCGCUAGACUUGCUCGGUGAUUUUUGGAACUCGCGCUAGAAAUCAUCCAGGCGUUGGUUGACCCGGGACAGCCAGGCCCUGAGCGAGUCAUCCGCCAAGUCAAACGAUACGGUGUCAGGCUCGAAGUGGGGUAGUGUGACUGAGCAGGGUGCGGGUAUGCUCUACUCGUGCGAACCUCUCGGGUCCGUCGCUUGCUCUCAGGCUUCCCCCAUCUCGACUUGCUACCCACUCGGCCUCUGUCGGGUCGGGUCAGUUGGGGGAGCCGCUAGCCACACGAUCUAAGGAAUGAGAGUAGCGAGCCUCUACAUCAUGCCCACCAUGGCUUGCACUUGUUUGGUCAAGCUGAGGAAUGCCUCGGGUGUCACGGCCGAGGGUUCCGUGGUUAGUCCAAUAAUACGUGUAUAUUGAAUCUUUUGAGACAAUUAUUGGUCUUAGAAUGUAAUUCUGAUCGGUCAAUAAAAAUACAUGUCAAUAUAAUUUUUUUUUAUUUUUUUAGAUUAGUUAAUCUAUCUUGGAAGGUAAAAAUGGGUAGAGUAAACCUAUUUUUAUUUUAUUUGAAAUUAAUGUCCUCUUCCUCUGCAUGUAGGAAAUGAAUAAAAUAAAUCAAUUAAAUUCCAAGAACUUCAUAAAGUGCUUCCUUAGAGUUAAACUUACAUUCAACCAUAUCUCUAUUCGCAUUUCGAAUAGUCAUAGAUAUAUCAUCUAUAGGGUAACUUUCAUUUUGAGAGUUAGUUGUUGGUUUCAUACAAUAUUCACAAUCUCACCUAAUUUAUAAUCCAAUAUAUAAAUCAAUUGAUUUCGUCAAGUUAGCUAUAUGUUGUGUUAUGUCAACUAUUUUCAUGGAAGGUGGAGAGAUGAUUAUCUUGAGCAGUUACGUAUUUAGGGCCCCUGGCGCAAAUGGAUGCGUCUCUAACUCCAUAUUUAUUACUUCUCAAUACAAUUUCUUUCAAAUUUAGUAAAAUUUCAUGUACCGAUUCUUCAAUACCUAUUAUCGUAGAAUAUUCAUGUAAUACUUUCUUAGAUUUUGCACGUGUGAUACAUGUUCCUUCUAUUUCUCCAAGUAAAGCCCUUCGCAUGGCAAUAGCUAUGGUAUUUGCUUGACCUUUCAUAAGCGAGGACAAAAAAAAAAGACCAUAAUAAAGAUAUUUAUAUCUACUCUUGAUUCAUAGUGUUUGAGUGGAUCCUGCUACUUCCUCUUAAAUCAUACUAUAGUAAUACUAUUAUUUGAUCAGAACAUCGAAUCAUUUAUUUCUCUUGAAAUUUAUUUUUUUAUUAUUACUACAUGUCUUUUUUUAGGGGGUCGACAUCCAUUAUGUGGCAUAGGUGUUACAUCACGUACGAAACUUAAUAGUAUACCACUUCUAUAAAUGGCUUGUAAUACUGCAUCUCUUCCGUGACCAAGACGUUUUAUCAUAACUUCUACUUAUUGCAUACCCUAAUCAACAACUAUACAAAUAUCAUUUAAUGCUGCUGCUUGAGUAGCAUAGGGUGUCCCUCUUCUUGUCUCUUUGAAUUCGGAAGUACUAGUAGAGGCCCAAGAAACCACCCGACCUCGUAUAUCUAUAAUAAUUACAAUGGUAUUGUUGAAACUUACUUGAACAUGAAUAAUUCCUUUUGGUAUUCUACGUCCAUUCUUACGUGAACCAAUACGCCCAUUCUUACGUAAACCAAUUCUUAGUAUGGCUGUUAUCAUAUUUUAUCAUCUUAUAAAUAUGAGUCAGAAAUAUACGAAAGAAAAGUUACUAAAAUAUCCAUUUCAUAUUAAAAGAAAUAAUUUAUUUUUAUCCUUUCUUUAUAAAAUUCUUUUUUAGAAAGAUUAUCCUUGUCUCUAUUUAUGUCUCAAAUUAGAACAAAUCACUAUAAUUCAUCUGCGAAUCAAUUGACAUUUUUCAUAAAUUUUAUUAACGAAAGCCCUUAUUUUCAUAUUUCUUAUUCCUUACCUUAAUUUUUAAUCUAUUCCUUGGAAAUUCUUAAAUAUUUUUUUAACUUCAAAUUGUAUCAUCAUGAAAAGAAUACUUUAAAAUCACCUAAUCAUUCGAAUCUUUGUUAAGAAAUCUAUCAUUUAUACAUCCCUUGGUUGAAUCACAAUGACUUCAAUUUCGACUCUAUCCCCGAGUAGUAUUCAUAUAAAACUGUAUUGGAUCCUUUCUGGAACAUAACCUAGAAUUACAUCUUCAUUAUCUAACCUAGUAGAUGUAUAGUCGAUUAGUCGGGUGAAUUAUUAUGGAAAUAAUAAUUCAUUGAGCUAGAAGGAGUUCUAACAUGUAUAACUUACGACCAGCUCGAUAUUUGGCCUAGAGGGUCAUACACAUAUGGUAGGUAUUGUGACGAGUAGAAGUUCGGAUAAGAAAUAUCUGUUGGAGCCCCUAUCUUAUUGGAUAUCUAAUAAACCCUUGAAUUAUUGGAUCCGACCCAAUAAGAGCCAAUAAUAGAUUAUUGGAUAGAGAUCCACUAAUCUAAGAGGCCUAGAUAGUUGGAUAAAGAUCAUAUACCCAACAGGGUAAGAUUCAUUAAGGUUAAGUUGAUAGGAGGCCUUCAUAAGUUAGUCCUUUUUGGCUGUCUCAUAUUCUCCUCUCCCCUCAUCCUCAACUAGCAGUCCCUAUUUGGGGUAUAUGGAGAUUUAAGCAGCGAUUCGAGGAGCAUCUUCGUAGUCCCUACCGUGUGGAUCGCCACUAAAGAGGAUGACAAUUGACCUCCUUUAUCUUCCUAGGUAACACAACUAUCUCACACGUGGUUUUUAGUUUUGCAGGUUUUUGCAUACCAAUCUUCGCACGACGAUGAAAUCAUUUUUGUAGAAAUAUAAGAUUUUUCUUUUUGUUCUUCUGCUGCGCAUGUGAUGUUGCUCCUAGAUUUCCUUACAAGUUAUUGGAGUGAUUUGCAUUACUAAAGAACCAUGGUUUUGAAAAGGGAGAAACAGACUCAAUAAAAAUAACAUGACGUAAUAUAAAGACUUUUUAGGUUUGAGGAGCAUAGCAUCAAAAAGUAUUAUAUUUAAUAAAGUACCCUAUGAAGAUACAAGGCUUGGAUCUUAGUGUUAAUUUAUGUGAAAUUUAGGGGUGUAGCUAGGGAAAAUAUAAAUAGUCAAAUAUUUUAAGUUUUUGAAGGUUUAGGUUUUGUGAAAUAGUUUUUUAAAUGGUGACUGGUGUUAUAGGACUCAAGUGGGCAUGCGAUUAAUGAGGUAGACUAUUGUUUAAAAUGCUGCUGACCAAAACAUUUGGUAAUAUGGAGGCUUGGUAUAAAAGUGUGAGACCAGUUUCAACUUAUACUAUAAUAUGAAAAGUAGACUUUUUGGGCUUGGUAUUUAUCUCCUCCAUUUGAAUAAAUUGUUUUAAAUAGUAAACUAGAAGUUCUUGAUUAACUUUCUAAAGUGGGUAAAGACUAUAGUUGCUUCAAAUUUGUAUUUGAGAGAGUAUAACUAUAUAUACCUAGUAAAGUAAUCUAUGAAAAUGAAAUAAAAUCUAAAAUUGUCAAAAGAAGUGGUUGGGGUAGAGGCCCAAACAUCGGUGUAGAUAAUUUUAAAUUUUUUAAGUAGGAAAUACGUUCUAAAAUAUAGUUUAUAACUUUUAUUACUAAGGGAUGCAUCACAAGAAGUUGUAAUUCUACUUGAUUUAGAAGUUAGAAGAAAGUAAUGAGAAAAUUGUUAUUGUUGAAUAGAGGAUAAUGGGUAACCAAGACGACAAUAUCACACAUUGAUUAGAGUAGUAACUGAAGUAAGAGUGGUUGGCUGGGUGAUUUACAAACAUGAUGGCCACUCGUAAAUAUUAUCUUUAUUUUGACCUCAAACCAAGGAUAUUUUCAUGCUCAAAUCUUUAACAAGAAAUGAGUCAGGAAAGAAUUCAAUAGAUGUGUUAUUUUAUUUACAGAAUUAAAAAAUAUAAAUAAAGUUUCUUUUAAUAUAAGAUGCACAUAAAACAAUAUCAAGUAUAAAAGUGGUGGUGUGUGAAUUAAGUACGGUGGAACUAGUAUGAGCAAUAGGGACUUCAUUACUAUCAACAAUAAUGAUAUCUUCAAUACCUCCAUAGUCAUUAUGGAUGGAUAAAUUCUAUAGAUUAGAAAAAAUAUUAUGAGAAGCACCGAAGUAAUCAUGAUAUUUGCUUGCAACUAAUUGGUUGUAGUAAUAGACAUGGCUCGAGACCGACAUAUUUUUACUGUGUAUUCGAUUUUGUCAUAGAGUUGGUAAAUGAUUUUUUAUUGAAUAUUACUUUUGGGAUGCCUGUUGAUAAUUGUAGUUUAAGUUAUUUUCUAAGUUAUUUGAAAUAAAAUUACUAUCAAAGGUUGAUAGUAUAAUAAAGGAUAAUAGUUGGUUCUAUCAUCCUCUCUUCUUUUUUCAAAUAUAUUUUAUAAUCAAUCAACUUGUCAUAUAAUUUUUCAAAUGACAUUAAUGAGUCUCAUGAUUGAAUUACUAUCACCAGUUCCUUAUGUUCAGCUCUUAGGCCAUUGAGAGUAUGGAUAAUGACUUCUUCAUCACUCCAAGAUGAUCUAUUAAAGUGAAGUCAUAUAAUUAUUUUUAUAUUUUAUAGAUAAUAAACAAUAAUACUUCUUUUUUAUGUUAUUUUUAUCAUAAUAAAUAAGAGACUUAAUAUAUAACGAUUGACGAAGAUGAUUUGUAACUUUGACUAUGUUUAUGCUUUAGUGUUGUACAAAAAUAUUAGUGGUGCUAUGGAAGAUUUGAAUUACUUAUAAAAUAAAAUAAUUUAAUUAUCACUUUUAGAUAAUUUGAAAGGAUUCGACUAUCAACAUUGAUAGAUAUAAUUCUUUAGAAAAACUAUUAUUUUUUUAACUAAAAAAACGAAAGACAACCGAUGUAACAGAUAUUAGGAGAGAGAGAUCAAGAGGUUGAUGGUUGACAAUGGUGUCCAUCAACUUAUUCUAAUCCUUGCUGGCACCCAGUGACCCGGGGAACGAGGGCGAGGAAGAGACCACCGUAAGGCCGACUACAGGCCUGCAGUGGGAGGAGGAGACUGCCUGUUCUCUUGAUCUGUAGUGGUGAGAAAUGCUGCUUGCGAUUGGGUUGAACGGUGAAGAAAGAUGCCAAUGAGGACGCUGUUCUUUCUGUCGCAUGUAGAGUCUAGCGACGAUGGCUGGUUUUCGCCGCCGACUGUGAUUUGGUUAGCGGCGAAGAGAACAGGCCGCCAAGCAAGGUGCGACUGACGGUGAGGAAGAAAGGGGCCGGGGGCACUCGGGGCAGAGACGCUGCCUCUGCCAUUACGCCGAUGGAGAGGAAGAUGCAGUAGCCAACUCCCCGUAGGAAGACACUGUCAUUGCUCUCGUUAUGGAGAGGAAGACAGCCGCCGUUCACCGAGGAAACGCCGCAGUCGUCACUUGGAGAAUAACCACCUCUUAGGGAAAAGUAAACGGUGGGAGUCACCUCCUGCUUCUUCUUGAUGGCGCUCGCCUCCUGUGAUCCGUCGAUGAGGAAGAUCGACGGAGGUCGACCCACGACCGAAGGAUGGCAGCCGCCGAAGGAGGAGGUGGCUGUCGAAGUAGGCGACCACAGAGAAAGCCAUCGGCUCAGGGAGAAGAGGGGAAGAUGUCGACGUAGGGAGGAGAAGGUGGUUCUCGGCGCAGGGAGGAAGGGGGAAGACGGCUGUGACAAGGCAGAAGCAGACGAUCCGUGGGCCGCGCUCUUCCACGGGUGGGUUGUUGUUGCUGCAGCGACAGUAGUAGAUCAUCGAGAUGUCCACCUGGCGGUUCAAGGGGAAGAGGCGGCACUCAAUGCAGAGGUGGGCUGCUGUUGCUGCAGCGACGACAGGCCGAUCGACGGAGAAAUUGCUGUCGAGCAGAUGCAUCGCUGAGUUGGGGAGAACACCGACGACGGGGAGAGAAGGGAUUACUGUCGUCGGACAGGGGAAAUCUUGCUAAGUCGAAAGGAGCUCGAACGAUUGCGAAAAAGAUGAUUUUUAUUUAUUGAGGUGAUGAGAGUGGUUACCGUGAUUGAUUGGAGCGGAUUAAGAAAAGAAUUACCAUGAUGUGGUUCAACUUAUUGUUAGAGCAACAAUCUUAAUAAGAUAAUCAAUCCCUUCAAGUUUAUUAGAACAGAGACAGAUUAAUUGGUUUAUGGUUUUAUUGUUAUUGAUGUUGUGACAAUAAACUUAGGUGUUGCUCAAUAAUACGUCAAUUAAUUGAUAAAUAUAUCAUUCAAGCACGACAUGUCACGUUUUUAAAGGAUAACCAUGUUAUUAUCAACCAACGGACAAUAUAACGAUCUAAAGUUAUGUAUUAUUUUAGUUUGAAGUCUAAAUAAUCUAUAAUUAAUUCGAACCGAAAUGUUNNNNNNNNNNNNNNNNNNNNNNNNNNNNNNNNNNNNNNNNNNNNNNNNNNNNNNNNNNNNNNNNNNNNNNNNNNNNNNNNNNNNNNNNNNNNNNNNNNNNNNNNNNNNNNNNNNNNNNNNNNNNNNNNNNNNNNNNNNNNNNNNNNNNNNNNNNNNNNNNNNNNNNNNNNNNNNNNNNNNNNNNNNNNNNNNNNNNNNNNNNNNNNNNNNNNNNNNNNNNNNNNNNNNNNNNNNNUUCAGAGUACAUGUUCAUUUUGCCGAUCAUCCGACGUUGCCUCCAUCCUCAGUGGUGGUUAUUGCUAGUAGCCCUUCUCAUCGAGUCCGUUCAUCUGACAGCUCUUGCCAGAUGAACGGUGAUGAUGAAGAAUAGUCUCGUCACUGGUGAGCCCCACCAGAACGUCACACAGCGAUGGAAUACUACUCCACCGUUUCCUUCAUCUCAUCUCGAAGGAGAAAUCACAAGUCUCGAUCUUAGAUGCCUAAUCCGAUGCGCAGUCACCGCUUUGGACUGAUGAGGGAAAAAAAGUGAACUAAGCCACUACAACUCUAAAUUUGUCUUGAUAAUAUUAAUUUCUGAAAUAUUUAUAAUUUGUAUGGUAGAGUUCUGACUAUUUAGUAUCUCUACUUUGAUCUCUCAAAAUAAAAAUACAGUAAUCUUUUUUUUUCUUUUACUCUUGUAUGUAAUAUCCUUAUAAGUGAACAUCAAUAAUUUUGGAUCAGAAUCCACAUAAAAAUUUCCUUCCAAAUUCCAAGAUCUUGAAGAUUACAACUAGAAAAUGGAUUUAGAAAAGGGUUAGGUAAGAUUUAUAAAAGAUAAAACUAAAAAAAAUAAUGUCAAUAAGGAAGAAGGUUUACUCUAAACAUUGAUUCCUUCCAGCUUGCUUAGUCAAUAGGGACACAUCACUUCAAUCAUUCCUGUAGACUUUGCCAUACUUUCCUAGCGAUGCACAAGGUCUUCUAGAUCUAAGUCAAGAAGUGCUGAUUCAUCGGUGACUUGAUUGGAGUGUUAGAUUUGGCCUCUGUGGCUAAUAAAUCUCAUGUAUUUUAUCAUCAUAUAUUCCUCUUUGGUUCAUUUCACAUCUGAUCCAUUCAAGAUUUCAUGCAUAUUCUAGUCGUUGUUAUUGAUAGUUGUAUAGAACUAUUACUCCGAAAAGUAAUGUUAGGUUACAGUUCUUCACUCCUUGAAUAGGAGUUUGACAAUUUUUUGUCAAUCUCACCAUAGAACAAAACUAGAUUCACAGCUAUGGCAUUCUAAUACUGGUGGAUAUUGCCAAUGGAGGAUGGCAUUCUUUCCAUGUGUAAGAACUUUAAGACCAAGUCUUACAAGUGGGAAAGGAUGCCAGGAAACCGGCAUAAGAAUUAAGUUUAGACUUGACCAUCAGUCUCAAAGUUAGGUGGAUGUUCCUUUCUGACUAACUUUCUAACACAGCAUUCUCAUUUGGACUCUCAAAACUGGAGAACCACAUACUCUCUCUUGAUGCUACAAUUUUCUUUGAUAUAUUGUAGGAAAGAAUAGUCCUAGAAGAGGACUAUCAUCCAAGCUCUCAGCAUUUUCUUUUUGACUAAACCUUUUACAUUUGUGUAGCUAAUUAGGUUUCCUGAAGACAGGAAAACUCUAUUAAUGCUUGAAACUAGGGAGAACAAGUCAAAUUAAUAACAAUGAAACUGACUCCAAAAGUAUGCCUUGUGUUAUGAAUUUCUAUUCUGCAACCCCAAUUUAUGGCUUCUCACACUGCAACUUGGAAAGCAAUGCUUAUGAAUUGCAUGGAUGUACGUAGGGAGCAACUAAACUUACUUUUAACACAAUUUGAGACACUCUUUUUUUUUUUUUUUUUUUGUCUUGGUAGCUAAUAGAAAUUCUAAAACCAUGUUCUUUUGUUCAAUCUGUAUCAACCAAGAUAAUUCAUAUUAUGGUGAUAUGCUUGUGCAGGAUAUCAAUGAGUGGCCGAUCAUUGACCCUUUGCCCUCCUACGGCAGAGGAAGAGAUACGGCUGGAGGUAGAUACAGUAAUCUCAUCAUGGGAUAUAACCUAACCGAUGUGGUCAUAACAGGUAGUAUAUACGCUGCAUAUUUUCAGUGCUUCUACUAUAUUACUUUCUUCUAAAUUCAUAAAGUUUGCGUCGUGUUGUCAUUCCAUGGUCCCCUAAAAUUUAGAUAGAAAAAAUAUUUCUAGUCGGAAACUGUAACAUUUAAUUUAGUUUCUGAUGUUUGGGAUGCAUUGAUUAAUAAGAAGACACAUAUCAUCUCACUUGUUUGCAUCAUAGGUGGGGAACAGAAUACAAUUUGAUUGCAACAUACCAUGUCCUGAUGCUAACAAGUUUUAUUGUUAUUUUUAGGGCAUAAUGGAACUGUCGAUGGACAAGGUGAAACCUGGUGGGAAAUGUUCAAUAACAAAGAACUCAAUUACACUCGUGGAUACCUCAUUGAAUUGAUGUACUGCAGACAAGUGCUGAUUUCCAACAUUACAUUGGUCAACUCUCCAUCGUGGAAUGUCCAUCCAGUGUACAGCAGGUUUAUAUUAAUAAUCUACUUUCAGAACACUUGAAGGUUUCAUUUACUUUCCAUUCUAUUGUUACAAUCUGGUGUUAACGUGAAUGAAUGAACUGUACAGCCAAGUUAUCGUCUCAGGCAUCACAAUUCUUGCACCAGUCAACUCUCCGAACACUGAUGGGAUCAAUCCAGGUGGAUAUCGUACCUACAUUUAGUUGGGUUGUAGAUUAUAUGUUGCUGUUUCAAUUGAUUGUUUUUGGUGGUUUCUCUCUUCUUCGCAGACUCAUCCUCCAAUGUCCGCAUUGAGGACUGCUACAUAGUCUCAGGCGAUGACUGCAUCGCCAUUAAAAGCGGGUGGGAUGAGUACGGGAUUGCAUUCAACAUGUCAAGCAAACACAUAGUGAUCAGAAGGCUCACCUGCAUCUCCCCCACAAGCGCUGUCAUCGCCCUGGGAAGCGAGAUGUCGGGAGGAAUCCAAGAUGUCCGGGCCGAAGACAUCACGGCCAUCCACUCCGAAUCCGGCGUCAGGAUCAAGACGGCCAUCGGAAGGGGAGCUUACGUGAAGGACAUAUUCGUGAGAAGAAUGAAUCUGCACACCAUGAAGUGGGUCUUCUGGAUGACGGGCACCUACGGGCAGCACCCGGACGACAAAUUUGAUCCGAAAGCCAUCCCGGUGGUGCAGAAUAUCAGCUACAGCAACGUGGUGGCCGAGAACGUGACCAUGGCCGCAAAGCUGGAGGGGAUUCCCGGCGCGCCCUUCACCGGAAUAUGCAUCUACAAUGUGACGGCGGAGGUGGUGAGGUCGAAGAAGCCGAUAUGGAACUGCACCGACGUGGAGGGCGUUUCGAGUCACGUGACGCCCACUCCCUGUGCGCUGAUUCCGGAAUCUCCAGAUCGGAUAACGCAUUGCCCCUUCCCUGAAGAUGUUCUACCUGUGGAUUGUGUUGGGCUGAAGGAGUGUUCUUAUCAGAGAACCAAACCAUGAGUCGAGAUGCUUUCUACAUCCAAAUCGAUGAAAUAAUUAAUAUUUUUUUACCGUUUAAUGGCAUAAACUAUGAUGUCCUGAAGCUUGGCAGAUUAAAUUGUUUGCCUUGAACAAAGUGCUUAAUGAAUCUUUUUUUACAAGUAUUUUGAAUUUAUUUUUAUAAGCACCUUGUUCACAGAGUUGAAACAUAUGUAGAUGUCAUGCAAAUAAUGGUACACUCAAGUUAAUUUACAUAAUUUACAGCAUAGUUGUUAUCAGUAAACAUGGAAUCUAUCUCAUGCUUGCAGUAUACAGACGAGUAAUAGAUCAAUAACAAUCAAAUCCAAUCCAUUAUAGCACUCAGCUAAUCCAAGUCACAAAAUGUAUUCGACCUCAAAUGAUACCUUUGCUCAGAUGAUCUUCCAACAGGACCGUAGGAAUAUGGAAGAAAGUAGCGAUCAGAUUCCUGAGCAUCCAGACGCUAAUACCAUAGCACUAGUAGUCAGAUGUCUAACCCCAAGUUGCAUAACCAAUUUAGACACAGUGGAACUUACAAAGAUGCAUCAAUAAUGAUUGAUCCCCAUGACAAUCAAACCUGCAGCAACAUUACAAAAACAAACAAGUCAGGUGCAAAAAAUGAGAUACACACUGCACACGAUUAGAGUAGAAAAACUGCAUUUGAUAAUUGCCAAAUGGAAACCUAAAUUUACCUGUAUUCUCGUUAACUUAAACUAACUUCAUGGCUAUAUGUUAAGAAAUGCUAAAAUACCACUUCAACAAUCCAAAAAGCUCUCCUUUGCAUAUGUGCCGCACGCACGCAAAAACAGGUACUCUAAUGAGCAGGUUUUAGGCAGUAAUGGUAUCAGUUAUCACUUUUACCCCCAUCACAUUAAACAUGGAGCACACGGAGGCGCUCAUGGAAAUGUAUCUGAACUCUUAUAAAAGUGUGCUAAUGAAGAACAUGUAACAGUGUAAACAUGUUUUAGAUAUCAGAACUAGAUGCUCUGCGAACUAAAGAAUAUUUUCAGAAUACACAAGGAUUUUAUUGAGCUAGUAUCUCAGAUCUUAAUUUGUCAUGAGUGAAGAAUUGGCUGGAAAAUUGCAGAGAAUGUAUGAUACUUAUGGCACAUUAAUGGCUCUAGUGGUGUUCUAUCAGUUACACUAACACAAUUUGAUAAAAGGGCAGAAAUUUCAUACUUCUCUAGACAGAACAGACAUGCUGUGGUAAAACAUACAGGUACCAUAUUAUCAUGGAUCUGGAUUGAAUCUCAAAGAUUCCCUCCAGAUGAGCUCUUUGAUAUUUUCCUCGGUGAAUGAUGGUCGCUCAAAAUCAAAACUAAACGGGGAUGCACACACGGGCUCAUCAUUGAUGUCGUGAAGAGGUGCCAAGUAAGGGUGAUGCAGAGCCUCAUCAACUGCAAGAAGAGGAGCAAUUUACAUUUCAAGAAGAGACCCUGGACAGUAAACAUUGAGAAGCCAUCAACAUAUAAGUCUACCUGUUAUUCGCUUGCUUGGAUCAAACACGAGCAUUCUGUCCAACAAAUCACGAGCUCCAGGAGACAUAUUGGGGAACCUGAGUGCAAAAUUCUGUCUUGGAUAUCUUGGUAGCUGUUUUACAUAUUUUCGAGCAUUUUCACUUCGAAGAAACCCAAGGCUCGAGUCAUCCGGUGAACCUAUCAGCUUUUAUAAUCAUGAAAUAAUGUCAGGUUUCAAUUCAAAGCUAUUAUUUUCUUGUUUGUUUUGUCAUCGGAAACUACAAAUAGAAAUAAUACAAAUGGACUCGGAUCAUUCUGCAAUUAAAAGAGAAGGCAAAGAGAAAAAGAAAGUUGGGCUGAAGGGAAAAAGAUUGCCAUCGAAGUUGUUGACCAACUCAUUAUUAUCUUUAACAUCUUAAAUUUGAAAAACUCUCAUGAUCUUAUCAACCAAAACAUCUAUAUCUAAAAUGAAUUAGAUCUCCCACUGAAAAUGUUGUUAAGAAAAAAGGAAAACCAAACAGUAAGUAGGAAGAUAGUCAAGAAAUUCUCAGCCUAAUACCAAAGGUGCAUUGGUAGAGGUUUCAAUUCAGCAUAAUGACACAUUGGAACAGUGACAGAAGAGAACAUAGUGCAAUCCUGAACAUUAAGUUCCAAUCUACAGCACAUUGUUAACCACCUGUUUUCUACCUCAAUCAAAUAACUAGGCAACAAUUUUCAAAGAUUUUAACUUGUGAAUCAAGACAGCAAUCAAAAUAUGUUAGCACAGCACUAUCAGCAAAUUUAUUGGAUUGGCUAUUACCUUUUAAAAGGUACACAGUAAUGUUAUGAUGAACAUCAGCAUAUCAUCUCACAGAACUCCAUGAGAAAUUUCAAAGUCUUACCUCAGUGAUUAACCUCAGCUGCUGAACAUAGUCUCUCCCAGGAAACAAAGGUUGCCUGGUUACAAUUUCUCCAAGGAUGCACCCUACCGACCAAAUAUCAAUUGCAGCAGUAUACUCUGAGCAAUUAAGGAGCAGCUCAGGUGCUCGGUACCAGCGAGUGACAACAUACUCUGUCAUCAGAUCUGUUUCAGAAGUUGUUCUUGCUAAUCCAAAGUCUCCUAUUUUAAGGUCACAAUUUGCAUUUAAGAACAAAUUGCUUGGUUUAAGAUCACGGUGCAAGACAUUUGCUGAGUGUACAUAUUUCAGACCCCGUAGUAUCUGAUAUAAGAAGUACUGCAGGGAUAGAUAAUAUUAGUCAAGGAAGCCAGGUGAGAAUCAUAAUGUAGGAAAGAAAAAAAUUAAAUUUAAACUAAAACAGGAAAAUGAACUAUGUCAUAACUUCUCAACUAAAGUGACAUUGUCACAAAGAAAGAAGAAAAGAAUGCCAGGAAACAUUGAUUUCAAUACUAGUCUGAAGUGAAUACCAAUCAGACUGAAAUGGUACAUCUCCUUACGAAGUACAGCAAUUACGAACCAGGGGCAUGUGAGCUUCAUUAGUAUCAAUUUACCCUACGGAUCGAGAUUAAAACUCACAAAAUUUAAAAAUAUAAGAAAUUACAAGACUAUAGACUUUGAGCCAUGGCCAUGAACAUAUAAAUCACAAAAAGAUUCAUUAUUACCAAGUUCAAGAAAGUUGCAUACCAGAUAAUAAUACUAAGAGUGCUAUGUCUGUAAUUUUUAGAAGAUUAUAUUGAGUUGAGGCGAAAUCAACAAAAAAUGCAUCGUAAAAUUUCCAAUAGUUUCUAUCUGAAGGUUCGAGGCCCAGUCUCCAAAAACCAACAAUAUGAAAAAAGAAUGAGAGAGAGAGAGAGAAGCUCAAGAGGCUUAUAAAUUCCAAAAGUUUCUCAUCCAACUUUCUGAACAACAUGACUAAAUCUUGAAGCACGAGAUGGAACCAUGUCAUUAGAAGUGAUACACAAAUAUACGAAACCACAAGUUUCAGAAACAGACCUGGCAGUGAUCGUCAGUCAAUAGUUGAUUAGAGCGGAUUAUCUGAUUUAGAUCAGUAUCCAUUAACUCAUAUACAAUGUAAACAUCACUGAAGUUUUCCCUCUGUGGUGGGCGUAUGAUGUCCUUGAUUCCAAUAACCUGUCAUGGAGCAAGAACUUGUGAGAUCCAAUCUAAUAACAAACUAAGUAAAAGGAUCAACAUGCAAGGCAGUCUCACCAUUAAAAUAUAUCUUACAUGAAACAUUAUAGAAGUCGAACAAAAAGUGAAAGUGUUAAAGGUUGCAAUCUGAUGUGAGACCUGCAAGUUAUGGACAGACGCUAUUUGGAUGUGAGACUAGAUACAAGGCUAGUGUAUCAGAUGAUGCCUCUACAUGAGUACCAGCAAAAAAAGAAAUUCCCAUGAUGAGGUUCAACUUAUUGCUAGAGAAACAAUAAUUUCAGAAAAAAGAUACGCCCAAGGGUCAGGCCAAAACAUUAAAAUGAUAACACAUAGGGCUGGUGUCUUGAUUAAGAAGGCAGCAACCAUUGUACAAACCUAUAUGGGUCAACCUUAAACAAAUCAAUCUUAAUAUGAUAAUCAAUCCCUUCAAGUUUAUUAGAGCAGAGACAGAUUAAUUCAUGGCAGCUUUUGCCAAGCCUAAAUAGUUUUCAUUUUUUCAGAAGUAACAAUAGGCUUAGGUGGCUAACCCCAAUAGUUGGGACUUUAUGGCUUUGUUGUUGUUGUUGUUGUUAUAACAAUAGGCUUAGGUAUUGCUCAAUAAUAUGCCAACUACUUGAUAAAUAUAUCUUUGGAGCAGGACAAGUCACAUUUUUAAAGGAUAGCCUAGGCUCUCUCAACAACCAUGUUAUUAUCAACCAAGGACAACAUAACGAUCCAAAGUUAUGCAUCACUCAAGUUUGCAGUAUAAAUAAGAAGUUUACACUUCAUAGUAAACUAUCCAGAAACAACUACAACUUCCCUUUUAGAUAUGAGACCAUCUGGUGAAUCAAAACUUUGACGGAUCAUAACUUUCUAGACAACAUAAACCUAUCUCUUAAAAAUCAGUUUUACCCACAUAACACAUCAGUCAAAUUUUAGUAAACAAUUCAAGUUUUUGAUGCCGAUAUAGUGUGUGCCCCAAAUAAGAUGCACAAAGUAUGGAAUCCUAGAAAAAGCUAUUCCACCAAAAAUAUCUAUAUCACCAUGAGUAAAAGCAGUAUGUUGUCAAUUGACAAUGACAAGAUCAAAGUUGAGGUCUUGACUAGCUUGAAGAGCUCUAAAUGAGCUUUGUUUAUACUAUGAUCAUGUUCUACGAGUUUCAACUAUGACAGGACAUGCUGACUGUAGCAUGCUAUCAUAUUGCACCAGCAACACACCAAAGUGCCUCUAUCGUGAUUCUUAAAAUCUUGGUCAAUAUGAAGCAAAGAUGGACUUAGGCACGGUCUUCAGGUUCCCUACAGAAGCUUUCGGUCUAUGUUGAUGAUCCUCAAUAUUGAUGGAAACAUAGAAGCAUGAGAUAUAUAACUUAUCUUAAUUCUAAAUUCGAAGCACAUUACCAGGUUUUUAUGUGGAAUUUAAACAUCAUUUACAUAUAUGAACAUCUUAAAAUAGUAAAAAUGCCUUACGUUUUCAUGGUCCAUGUGGGACAGAAGCUUUAUUUCCCUCAAAGUUCUCUUGCCAUCGAUACGAUUAUCAAAUGCAUUACCAAUCUUCUUAAUAGCUACCUCUUCACGAGUUUGCGAGUUCACAGCAGCACUGAAAUGCAGAACCAAAAGAAACUAGAUUUAAGUCUCAAGUUCAUGAAAAGUAAUUACCGAAAAGAAAUUUGAACAGUGAAAGGCAACUGCAGGUUUGGCUACUGAUAAGCUGAAUUACCAAUGCUCGAGUUUUAAAGAAACCAGUCAAAAUCCGUCGAAGAAACAACGAGAACUAAAAAUAAAGCACUCAUUGAGCCUUCAAGUUAACAUAAACUUUAUCAGUGAAUCUGCUAAAAUAUCUCCAGUUCUGGUUCCAAAUUCUCUUUUGUAUUCAUUGAGCCUUCAAAUUACUCUUUUGUAUCUCUUCAAGAAGAUCAAGCGUCAAUUAAUAUCCUCCUUCAAAUUCGACUUCCAAAGUGAGAACGGAACCAAUGGUCACCAAUUGGACAUGUUAACUUCCCAAAAUCAGUGUAGAUGUGUCAUCAAUUGCAGAUCUUUCCGAACCAGCAAUAACCCUAAAAUUUUAAGAAUCGACCAUCACCUCUAUCACUCUUAAGGACCAAUAAUCCCACAAAAUAAUCGUUUCUCUUGAACUACUAGAAUUCAUAAAACAACAUUGGAGACACAAGGAAAAGAAAACACCCAAAAAGGUCGUUGACUAGAAUCAAAAGACGGCUCACCAGCAUCUAAGCCGAUCAAGCAAACAUACACUCGAACUUUACACACAAAGCACAUAGACGGGGAAUUCUCUCACCAGACGAUGCCGUAAGCCCCUCGGCCGAGGGGACGCAGGGGCGGGACGUACUUGGCGGUGACCUCGAACAGGUUGCCGUACACGUUGUACCGCACGUAGCGGCCGCCAUGGGUGAGGAUUCCCCUGAUCUGCCCCUCCGCGGUCUCCAUCCUCCGGCCGCCCAACCUCUCACCGUGGUCUUCAACGGAGAAUUAGAUACAAGAAGAAGAAGAAGAAGAAGAAGAAGGGGAUAGGAGGGAGGGAGUAGAAAAAGGAGAGACCUUUGGAUUUGGGAAACCGCGUCAAACGGGUGCGUGAGAUCGAGUUGGCUACUUUUCCUUCUUCCUCUUUUUUACUUGGCUCUCGGUUGCUCUUCGUCAACGCCUAUUUUUCCACCUUUCGUGGAUAACUUCGGAUCGACGUUGCUUUUGGAUUCUGUUGGAGGCUUCCAUCUCCUUUUCUGCCACCGUCGACGUCGAUCGACGACUACCCCACUCUUUCUUUACUACGCCAAAUGCAAUAAGAAGGGGCAGCUGCUGCGCGUGCAAGAUUCGAACAUCUAAUUUAUUGCUUCCCCAGCUACUGGCGACGGGGAGGUGGAUCGGUGGCAAGCGGGACCCGACCAGGAGGCGGUGGCGUAGAUAGGAAAUGGAAGGGAGUAAAGAGGAGGAGACGGGACCGGUGGAUAUCAUUACAAGCGACGGUCACACUUUCCGUGUCGUCGAUACCGUUGAAUAGUCGUAAAAAUAUGACAGUCGUGUCUUUUGUUUUAUUCAAAAUCGAAUUUAAUAUCUACAGGAAUUAAAAAACAAAGUAUUAGAUUAAAUUUUAGAUGAAUUUGAAAAAGUAAACGAGAGAUUUUCUUUUUAUUUUUUAUUUUUUUAAAAAUAAUACCUUCAUUUUUAGAAUUUUAUUUUAUUUUUUUCUAAUAUCAUAGAUAUUUUUCGUCCAACUUUGUUUCUUCUUUUCGUUACGAUGAUGGUGAUUUUUACGAUCAUCAUCUCCUUCUUAGGUUCUCAUCAUCAGUCAUUUGAAGUUGUUCGUUUUCACAAGAUAAAUAGUUCAAGAAUUAAUUAAAAGUAUAAUUAAUAAUAAAAAAAUAAGGAUGCAAAUAAUAACAAAGUCAAAACGAUUAAUAUUAAAUGUGAGAGAAACGAACGAGACGGCGGACGGACAAAGUGAGGCCUAAGCUGUAUGGCCUUGUGAAAAUAAAAAUUCUAAAUAUAAAUAUCAUCGUACUAGAAAAGUCUAAAAAAACAGAAGGGGUCUUCUAAGAAAAAUCACCCAAAGUAAAUGGUUAAUUAAAUUUAAAAAAAUAAAAAUAAAAAUUCAUGAAUUUCGUUGGCUAUUAAUUAAGUUUAAGAUAAAUUUAAGAAUUUGUCAUUAAAUUCAUGGAGCAUUCAUUCAUUCUAUUCUACAAUAAAUUUUGAAUAUAUAUAUAUAUAUAUAUAUAUAUAUAUAUAUAUAUAUAUAUCUAAAAAUAAUGUUGAUAGCUUCAAAAAAUGCUAUCGCCAUUAGCCUGUGAUGGAGUACAAGGUUUGGUUCCCAAUCAAAAUCCUUGCAAAGGUAGCAUCAGAAUAUUAAUUGAAGUGACCUAAUCAUUUAGGUAACAGAUUCUUUCCUCCGCAUCAGCCUUAUCAAUUUUAACCAUUAAACCACGAGAUUCUCUGCUCAAAAUAUUUAAUCGAGGAAUUGCUUAAAAAUAUAAUAAUUUUAUGUAGGAUCACAGAUCGUCUAAAUUACUGAUCAAAAUAUUUAAGUUGAAGUUGAUAAUAAUAUACUCAUCAGAUCUUUAUAAGUCAAUAUUUAUCUUAUCCAUUUUUUAUGUGAGACUAAUUAAGGAGUACAAUACUCUCGUAAAAUUAAGACUUAUUUUUAUUUCCAAUCAAUAUACUCCCAACUUGACUCGGUCAUUCGUUGGAUGAAGAAAAUUUUGGGCUACCCAAUCGUGUGGACAUCAGCUGCCAUGAUUUAUGGUCUUAUUUGCGUGAUGGGAUGUGAUCGGGGGGUCGACGUCAACCAUUAUGUAAUGUAAACUGAUGCGGACGUAUUACGGCAACCACAUGGAAUUCAAUAAAAUAUACUCUUAAUUAUUGUUGUAGCAGUUGUUUCUGUUGGAUGUUGGAUGUCGGCAAAUGGAUCUCAUUCAUAGUUCCACCCAUAUUAUGUGAUGUGAUGGUGAUCGGCGAUCAAAUGAUCUCAUUCGGAUCGGAAGAUCUUUUGAUAGAUGGGCCGGAAAGGAAACGGUAAGCCACCAAUUUCUGGGUUGGGCUCAAGCUAACUGGUCCUAACCGUUUCUAUCUCGUUAAAAUGUCAUGUAUAUUGCCGAUCUAUACCCGAUUGCGUUUGUAGAUCCGAUAUGGAUCUAUAUUUUUUUUGUCCAAAAUCUUAAGAUUUAGGAUCUGGGCAGAUCCGACCCGAUAACAC
rnacentral:lncRNA from 1 species